rnacentral:rRNA from 1 species
GUGGGGAAUAUUGCACAAUGGGGGAAACCCUGAUGCAGCGACGCCGCGUGAGUGAAGAAGUAUUUCGGUACGUAAAGCUCUAUCAUCAAGGAAGAAAAUGACGGUACUUGACUAAGAAGCCCCGGCUAACUACGUGCCAGCAGCCGCGGUAAUACGUAGGGGGCAAGCGUUAUCCGGAUUUACUGGGUGUAAAGGGAGCGUAGACGGUAUGGUAAGUCAGAUGUGAAAGCCCGGGGCUCAACCCCGGGACUGCAUUUGAAACUAUCAGACUAGAGUGCAGGAGAGGUAAGUGGAAUUCCUAGUGUAGCGGUGAAAUGCGUAGAUAUUAGGAGGAACACCAGUGGCGAAGGCGGCUUACUGGACUGUAACUGACGUUGAGGCUCGAAAGCGUGGGGAGCAAACAGGAUUAGAAACCCUAGUAGUCC